rnacentral:lncRNA from 1 species
GGCAAAACUUACAGAGAUCAAGGAUAAGAAAAGAAAAAGAGAGAUUGAGAGAAGAGAAAAGGAAGAAAGGAAAGAAGAAAAGAGAAAAAGAAAAGAGAGAAGAGAGGAAUUAAGAAGAGAAGAAGAAGAGAGAAGAGAGGGAAUAAGGAGAGAAGAAGAGAAGAGAAAGAGAGAAGAAAAAGAGAGAAAAGAACAAGAAGAGGAAAGACAAGAAAGGGAAAAGAAAGAAAAGGAGGAAGUCUUACUAAGAGCAAUUUUGCCUCCAACUAUAGNNN